CCAGACUCCUACGGGAGGCAGCAGUAGGGAAUAUUGCUCAAUGGGGGGAACCCUGAUCCAGCGACGCCGCGUGAGUGAAGAAGUAUUUCGGUAUGUAAAGCUCUGUCAGCAGGGAAGAAAGCAAUGACGGUACCUGACCAAGAAGCCCCGGCUAACUACGUGCCAGCAGCCGCGGUAAUACGUAGGGGGCAAGCGUUGUCCGGAAUUACUGGGUGUAAAGGGAGCGUAGACGGCUGUGCAAGUCUGGAGUGAAAGGCGGGGGCCCAACCCCCGGACUGCUCUGGAAACUGUAUGGCUGGAGUGCAGGAGAGGUAAGCGGAAUUCCUAGUGUAGCGGUGAAAUGCGUAGAUAUUAGGAGGAACACCAGUGGCGAAGGCGGCUUACUGGACUGUAACUGACGUUGAGGCUCGAAAGCGUGGGGAGCAAACAGGAUUAGAUACCCGAGUACA
rnacentral:rRNA from 1 species